CUGAACAGAAGUGCUUCUGGACUAGUGC
rnacentral:piRNA from 1 species